AUUGAACGCUGGCGGCAGGCUUAACACAUGCAAGUCGAGCGGAGAGAGGUAGCUUGCUACUGAUCUUAGCGGCGGACGGGUGAGUAAUACUUAGGAAUCUGGCUAUUAGUGGGGGACAACAUUUCGAAAGGGAUGCUAAUACCGCAUACGUCCUACGGGAGAAAGCAGGGGAUCUUCGGACCUUGCGCUAAUAGAUGAGCCUAAGUCGGAUUAGCUAGUUGGUGGGGUAAAGGCCUACCAAGGCGACGAUCUGUAGCGGGUCUGAGAGGAUGAUCCGCCACACUGGGACUGAGACACGGCCCAGACUCCUACGGGAGGCAGCAGUGGGGAAUAUUGGACAAUGGGGGGAACCCUGAUCCAGCCAUGCCGCGUGUGUGAAGAAGGCCUUAUGGUUGUA
rnacentral:rRNA from 1 species